CAGCAGCCGCGGUAAUACGAAGGGGGCCAGCGUUGUUCGGAUUUACUGGGCGUAAAGGGCGCGUAGGCGGAUUUGUAAGUCAGGGGUGAAAUCCCGAGGCUCAACCUCGGAACUGCCUUUGAUACUGUGGAUCUUGAGUCCGGGAGAGGUGAGUGGAACUGCGAGUGUAGAGGUGAAAUUCGUAGAUAUUCGCAAGAACACCAGUGGCGAAGGCGGCUCACUGGCCCGGAACUGACGCUCAUGCACGAAAGCGUGGGGAGCAAACAGGAUUAGAUACCCCAGUAGUCCCUGUCUCUUAUAC
rnacentral:rRNA from 1 species